rnacentral:rRNA from 1 species
CGAUUGUAGUCAUAUGCUUGUCUCAAAGAUUAAGCCAUGCAUGUCUAAGCACAAACCUUUACACGGUGAAGCUGCGAAUGGCUCAUUAGGCCACCCAUGAUUUCUUAGAUCGUACAAUCCUACUUGGAUAACUGCGGUAAUUCUGGAGCUAAUACAUGCCACAAAGCUCCGACCCCUAUGGGAAAGAGCGCGUUUAUUAGGUCAAAACCAAUCGGGUCCUCGCGGCCCGUAACUCUGAUGACUCUGGAUAACUUCGAGCUGAUCGCAUGGCCUCGUGCCGGCGACGUAUCUUUCAAGUGUGUGCCCUAUCAACUUUCGAUGGUACGUGAUAUGCCUACCAUGGUAGUAACGGGUAACGGGGAAUCAGGGUUCGAUACCGGAGAGAGAGCAUGAGAAACGGCUACCACAUCCAAGGAAGGCAGCAGGCGCGCAAAUUACCCAAUCCCGACACGGGGAGGUAAUGACGAAAAAUAACAAUACGGGACUCUUUUGAGGCCCCGUAAUUGGAAUGAGUACACUUUAAAUCCUUUAACGAGGAUCAAUUGGAGGGCAAGUCUGGUA